rnacentral:rRNA from 1 species
UGGGGGAUAUUGCACAAUGGGGGAAACCCUGAUGCAGCGACGCCGCGUGAGGGAAGACGGUUUUCGGAUUGUAAACCUCUGUCUUUGGGGACGAAAGAUGACGGUACCCAAGGAGGAAGCUCCGGCUAACUACGUGCCAGCAGCCGCGGUAAUACGUAGGGAGCAAGCGUUGUCCGGAAUUACUGGGUGUAAAGGGAGCGUAGGCGGGAUAGUAAGUUGAUUGUUAAAACUAUCGGCUCAACUGAUAGAUGCGAUCAAAACUGCAAUUCUUGAGUGAAGUAGAGGCAGGCGGAAUUCCUAGUGUAGCGGUGAAAUGCGUAGAUAUUAGGAGGAACACCAGUGGCGAAGGCGGCCUGCUGGGCUUUAACUGACGCUGAGGCUCGAAAGUGUGGGUAGCAAACAGGAUUAGAUACCC